rnacentral:rRNA from 1 species
UACGAAGGGGGCUAGCGUUGUUCGGAAUUACUGGGCGUAAAGCGCACGUAGGCGGAUUGUUAAGUCGGGGGUGAAAUCCCGGGGCUCAACCCCGGAACUGCCUUUGAUACUGCAAAUCUCGAGUCCGGAAGAGGUGAGUGGAAUUCCUAGUGUAGAGGUGAAAUUCGUAGAUAUUAGGAAGAACACCAGUGGCGAAGGCGGCUCACUGGUCCGGUACUGACGCUGAGGUGCGAAAGCGUGGGGAGCAAACAGG